UCGCCUACGGGCGGCUGCAGUUUCGAAUCAUUCACAAUGGGCGAAAGCCUGAUGGUGCGACGCCGCGUGAGGGAUGAAGGUCUUCGGAUUGUAAACCUCUGUCACUGGGGAAGAAACGCUUCAUGUUAAUAGCAUGAAGCCUGACUUAACCCAGAGAGGAAGCAGUGGCUAACUCUGUGCCAGCAGCCGCGGUAAUACAGAGACUGCAAGCGUUAUUCGGAUUCACUGGGCGUAAAGGGUGCGCAGGCGGCCGUGUGUGUUAGGUGUGAAAGCCCGGGGCUUAACCCCGGAAUUGCGCCUAAAACUACAUGGCUAGAGCAUUGGAGAGGGUAGCGGAAUUCACGGUGUAGCAGUGAAAUGCGUAGAUAUCGUGAGGAACACCAGAGGCGAAGGCGGCUACCUGGACAAUUGCUGACGCUCAGGCACGAAAGCGUGGGGAGCAAAAGGGAUUAGAUACCCCAGUAGUCC
rnacentral:rRNA from 1 species